UUAUGGCUCAGGAUGAACGCUAGCGACAGGCCUAACACAUGCAAGUCGAGGGGCAGCGCGGGGUAGCAAUACUCUGGCGGCGACCGGCGCACGGGUGCGCAACAGGUGUGCAAUCUGUCCAUAGUCGGGGGAUAGCCCAGCGAAAGCUGAAUUAACACUCCAUGUGAAUCGAAGCCGCAUGACUUUGAUUUGAAACGUAAGGACUAUGGGUGAGCACGCUUCUGAUUAGAUAGUUGGUGAGGUAACGGCUCACCAAGUCGACGAUCAGUAGGGGUUCUGAGAGGAAGGUCCCCCACAUUGGAACUGAGACACGGUCCAAACUCCUACGGGAGGCAGCAGUGAGGAAUAUUGGUCAAUGGGCGAGAGCCUGAACCAGCCAAGUCGCGUGAAAGGAUGAAGGUUCUAUGGAUUGUAAACUUCUUUUGUCCGAGGGUAAAAAGGCUACGUGUAGCUUCUUGCAAGUAUCGGACGAAUAAGCAUCGGCUAACUCCGUGCCAGCAGCGGC
rnacentral:rRNA from 1 species